UACGUAGGUGGCAAGCGUUUGUCCGGAUUUACUGGGCGUAAAGAGCGCGCAGGCGGUCGGAUAAGUCGAAUGUGAAAGCCCCCCGGCUUAACUGGGGGAGGGUCAUUCGAUACUGUUCGACUGGAAGGCAGGAGAGGGAAGCGGAAUUCCCGGUGAGUGGUGAAAUGCGUAGAUAUCGGGAGGAACACCAGUGGCGAAGGCGGCUUCCUG
rnacentral:rRNA from 1 species